rnacentral:lncRNA from 1 species
AGGGGACUUGAACUCUCUUCCUCAAGCCAACAGAACACUCUCAUGCUCCCUUAGAGCACAAGCACGCUUAAGAGACCUGGGACCAGUUCCCUCUCUCAUCCAUCUGUAACUCCUACUACAGAACCCCGCGUGGGUAACACGAGCAGCCUCGAUACUGGACGUAGGGCCUCCUUUGCCCGAACCAGUCUAACCCCGUGUCUCCUACGCCACCAUCCGAAGCCUUACGCGCAUAAAAG